GUUGCGAUUCUGUUUCGCCUUGCGUUGUGGUGCUUCCACGCUUACAACGUGGAUGUCGGCGGUUCGAGUCCGUCAUCGCCCA
rnacentral:tRNA from 1 species